UACGUAGGGUGCAAGCGUUGUCCGGAAUUAUUGGGCGUAAAGAGCUCGUAGGCGGUCUGUCGCGUCGGAUGUGAAAACCCAGGGCUCAACCCUGGGCCUGCAUUCGAUACGGGCAGACUAGAGUUCGGUAGGGGAGACUGGAAUUCCUGGUGUAGCGGUGAAAUGCGCAGAUAUCAGGAGGAACACCGAUGGCGAAGGCAGAUCUCUGGGCCGAUACUGACGCUGAGGAGCGAAAGCGUGGGGAGCGAACAGG
rnacentral:rRNA from 1 species